ensembl:snRNA U6 U6 spliceosomal RNA
UGAACACUUGUGCUCGCUUUGGUAGCACAUAAACAGAGAAGAUCAGCAUGGCCCCUGUGCCAGGAUGACACACAAAUUCACGAAGCAUUCCAUAUUUUU